AUGGAUUAUAGGAAUGACAGUGGAGUAAUUGUAAACUGUGAUGAGAUAGAGAGAGGAAUUAGGUGUUUGAUGAAGCAUGAUGGUGAGAAAAGGAGGAAGGUGAAGGAGAUUAGUGAGAAAAGUAGAAGGGCUUUAAUGGAAGGUGGAUCUUCGUACUCUUAUUUAGGCAGUCUAAUAAAAGAUGUAACGGAUAAUUUAUCAUAAAAUAAUUGUAAUAAAGUUUAAUUUUUAUUUAUAGUUA
rnacentral:misc_RNA from 1 species